rnacentral:lncRNA from 1 species
GUGUGUGUAAUAGAACACUCUGCCCAACAGUGGCUUAAACAAGUGAAAGGUCUUUAUAUUUUAUACAACAAGAGCUUCAAGGGUAGUAAAGUAUUGACAUGAGAAAUCAACACAUGUUCUGCAUUCUUGGCAUGUGGACUUUAUCCUUCCAGCCGCAACUCAAAUGACCCAAAGUCAGACAUCACAUCCACAUUUCAGCUAAGGCAAAGGCUUUUUCUUGGCCUCCACUCAGCAGUAUGCAAAAAGCUGAAGCUUUUAAAGUGGGAGAAGAAACAGAAGGAACAGAGGAGGUAAGCUUUUGUUUCACAAAGAAAUUCCAGCAAGUUACCUAGGGAUACAUUAUUAAUCAACUUCACCUGUUGAUAGUACAGGUUGGUUU